AGCACGUCAAUGUUAAAGCAGCGUCUGUGGAAAGACAAACACGGGAGGCAGAAUAAACGUCUUUCAAAACACGAAUGGAUCGUGAGGACCUACUUUAACUACAUCACUCUGAAAUGAGAACUGGCCAGCCUUGUGGACUGAGAGUCAUCAACAGGCAUCCUUGGUUAGAGUGGAGGGACAGAAAGUUCAUUCCUGAGUGACGGAGUCUAGUUCCGGAGGUGGAGUAGCUGUGACAGAGACACCACUCAUCCUAUUACAAGACACUGAACCGUCAACAUGAAGUCGAAGCUGCUAUUUAAGCUGGUCCUACCUGAGCCUGCAAACUCCCAGAAUGAGGAAAACAAGCGAUUCCUGCAUGGUCUCUGCAGCCCACACACUGGUAACACGGCACUCCAACAGGCUGUUCAGAAUCUGCUCCUUUAGUUACGUAACAAAAGGAGUCAUUAUCAUAGGCCAACUUCCACUGCGCGGUGACAGGAGAUAUCCGAGAGGGGGGCGUUCAUCCCUGAGGUAAAGUUCGGUGCGUCCUGCGGUGAGACAGCAGUGUUUCACAAUGUUGUCGCUCAAAGCUAGACACGCAUAUUGCUCUGUUGUUGGUUGUACAAAUCAACAUAAAUCCUUAUAUUCUGUCCCAACUACAGAAGAACAGAAGAGCCAGUGGUUGCUUUUCAUUUUUAACGACAACGUGCCAGCUACGGUUCGUGUUAGCUUGUAUGUGUGUGCUAACCACUUCAGGUCGGACUGCUUCAGUAACGAGGGUCAGUACAAAGCUGGCUUUGUCUCGACACUGACCCUCGUAAAAGGGUCAGUCCCAACCAUAAGAGACCCAGGAACUGCACCCGAGCCACAGGUGUUCAGGCUACUGUGUCCUGCAAGGAUUUUGGUGUUGGGACAUCCACUGCAGACCCUUUCCGUUUUUCCUCAACACCUGUAAAGAGACCCUCAAAAAGACCUCGUCUGGAGCUUGAAGAGGAGCUGGAGGACGAUCCAUUAGAGGGCAGCUCUUCAGUGGCAGCUUCAAAGGGGCAGGAUCCCACCUAUGAUCCUGCAGAGUCCGUCACAGCGCUGUCAGAGUCAACACUUUAGUCACAAGAAUCAUCCGCUCCUACCCACAAGAUCAGAAAAUCCAUAGUCCAUUCCUGUCCGUGGAGCAGCGAUGCCCCCAUUGUGAUUUCUACACACACUGGAAUAGCCGGCCUAUCCAUGGGAGCACACCAGCUGGGAACCUCCACCUUUCGGCAGCUGGGUACCUGAGAGGUGCAUCCUUGAAAAUUGCACGGGUCUUCAAGGCGAUGGAGCUGCAACUUUUUCAGUACAACACAUUUCGCCGGCAUGCCAGAUCUUUCACUGAACCUGCAGUCAUUCACCAGCGGAAAACAUUACAGGAUGUGAUGCUGCAGCGGCUCAGUCAGGAGAGCAAAGUUCUAGUUGGUGGCGACAUGAGAGCCGACUCUGCAGAGCAAUGAGGCUGGUGGUAGUUACCACAUGGAAAAAGAGGGCCUGAGGAGGAGUCUGGCACUGCUGGAAGAACGUGGCAUUAAUCUUGACUGCAUUGUUACCAGCCGUCAUCCACAAAUUCAAAAGUUCCUCAGGGAGAGAAACAUCACCCACUACUAUGAUGUGUGGCACAUGGCAAAAGGGAUUUCAAAGAAAAUAGGCAAGAUCAUUAAGGAGAAAGAGUGUCAGAAACUACAGAAGUGGAUGAGAAGCAUCAGCAAUCACAUCUACUGGACUGCAGCUGCCUCAUCCACUGGGCCAGAGAGAGUCGCAAAAUGGACCUCAGUCCUGAACCACGUGCAGGACGUCCACACACACGAUGACCCUCUUUAGCCCAAGUGCCUGCAUGAGCUCCACCAGACACGGGACAAAAACAAAUGGCUCAGAGCAGUCUUUGUUUUAUGAAUGUUUUAGGUGUUUCAACCUGACAAAAAGCUGUUGGCCAACAAAAGAACUCUGAAGGAUGUGGCAAAACUGAGCCCUCACCACCAGACUUCAUCUGUGGAGACAUUCCAUAGUGUGAUCGUUCGCUUUGCCCCAAAGAAUGUUGUUUUUCCCUUUAAUGUAAUGCUGUGCAGACUGUACCUGGCUGCCAUGUAUUACAAUGAAAAUGCAGACAGACCACAGGCCAAAACCCAGGAAGGUGUACCUCUCUACAAGGUCUACUUUCCAAAGGCUAUGAGGGGACAGUGCAGAGCCAAAGCCCACAAGACAGAGCCAACACUCCGGUAUGUUGCUGACAUGAUGGACCUCAUAUUUGCCAGAGUCUUGGUGGACCCUACACCGUACACAGACGCGAUGUUGGCCAUCCCAGUCCCAGAGGAUUUGACCGCCCGGUAUGAACAUCCUGACAAGGAGGAGGUCAUUGCCAGUUAUGUGUCCAGGUUCAACCGAGGGCCAGUCUAAAUCCAACGUUGUGGCCUUCGGCAUCAGGAAACUCUCUGCGGAUGCGUAGGACCACACAAACUGGAAUGACUACCCGGAUUCUGCGUCCCAGGCAGCCCCAGCACCAGCUCACAAAACUGCCAUAUGGUAGAUACCUGUAACGACUAUAAACAAUGGACACAAUGUUUAGUCUUGCAGAAAUGUAUUUAAACUGUGUAUUACAAUUUUUCUAAUGUUGAUUGCCUGAUAGGUUUGCCCUGUGUUUGAAUUAUUGUUUAAUUAUUGUUUUGGGGUGCAUUGUUGCAUGUAAAUAAAUGCUUGUGUGUGUCUACAAAAA